GGAGAGGUGCGUGAGUGGUUUAAACGGCAGUCCUGGAAAGACUGUGUGCCCAAAAGGUACCGAGGGUUCGAAUCCCUCCCUCUCCG
rnacentral:tRNA from 1 species